UACGAACCGUCCGAACGUUAUUCGGAAUCACUGGGCUUAAAGGGUGCGUAGGCGGCGCGGAAAGUUGGGUGUGAAAUCCCUCGGCUCAACCGAGGAACUGCGCCCAAUACUACCGUGCUCGAGGGAGAUAGAGGUGAGCGGAACUUAGGGUGGAGCGGUGAAAUGCGUUGAUAUCCUAAGGAACACCGGUGGCGAAAGCGGCUCACUGGAUCUCUUCUGACGCUGAGGCACGAAAGCUAGGGUAGCGAACGGG
rnacentral:rRNA from 1 species